rnacentral:rRNA from 1 species
CACCGUACAUGCGAUUCGAUCCAGGGGCGGGACCCAAUCCGAUCGGAAAUCAUUCCUUUUUGGAUGCCUCCCAGCUUGGUGGCACCCUUUGUCCGUCAUGCAGCAGUUGGAGCCUGACAGAAGGCCCUGAUGCCUGCCUCGCCCCCCCUUUCCCCCAGUUCUACGGGCAGACCUUAAAGUCCAGACAUACUGGCGGCAAAUAGGAAAAGGGUGCGUUGUGGGAGGAUUAACCAUCCCCCACGACACGAGCGACAACCACCCACCAACAUCGCUUGUAGGUCCAAAAGGAAACCUUCAAUUUCGGAAAGUUUAUAAAAUGCAAGGCCCGGUAAAGUUUUUUGGGGGGCUUGGAAUUAAACCCCCUGCUCCCCCGCCUGUGCGGCCCCCGUCAAUUCCAUUUAAUUUUUACUCUUGCGACCGUACUCCCCCAGGCGGAGUACUUAUUGAGUUAGCUGCGCCAUAAGGGGCGAAAAGGCCCCAACGGUUAGCAGACAUUGUUUACGCAUGGCCUACCAGGUAUCAAUCCUGUUGCUCCCAGCUUUGCACCAUAGGUCAGGACAGCCAGAGGGUGCCUUCGCCACGGGAUUCUCCCGAUCUUACGCAUCUCACGCUACACAGGAAUCCUCUUCCUCUCCCGCACUCUAGUUAACCAGUUUCCAAUGCACCGACAAGUAAGAUCGGGGAUCUCACAUCAGAUGAAGAGCCGCCUCGCGCGCUUUACGCCCACAAAAUUUGAAAACGCCUGCACCCUCAGUAAUUCCGCGGGCGGCGGCCCAGAGUUAGCCGGUGGCUUUUUAUGAGGGAGGUCAAGAUGUCCUCUUUUAAUACAAGUCUCUUCCUUCUCACAACAAAGUUUACAACCCGAAGGCCUUCAUCACACACGCGGCAUGGCUGCAUACAGGCUGUGCCCCAUCCG